UUAUUUUGGCCCACCAGCUAAUCUCCUCCUUCGACGCCGCAGGUAGCUGAACACUAAUUUCACCGUCUUCUUCGUAAGACACCACCAAGUAAACGAUUCAUGAUUUAUGCUGAAGCCAUAAACUCAGCCUUUAAUUUCAGUAAUUUCUCUCCUACUAACUUCUUAUUUCACUAGAACCUUCGAUCUCUUCGGAUUCUUCAAGAUUUGGAUCCUAUAAAUGCGUUAAAUCUCAUUUAUGGACUAUCCUUCGGCUUCGUCGAUUGGGCUUGGAUAAGAGAAACCCUGAGAUAGCCGAGACACCACCACAAUGGAGAGCGGCAAAAUUGUCGGAAUCUGAGAUUACGACGUUGAGACGAAGCGAGAGAAGCCGUGGUCGUUGCUCUCUCAACUACUCGCCGAUCCGAUUCUCGCUGACGUUCCGAGGAGCCCAACACUGUCGGAUGUCAUCACUCUCGUCAGCCUUGAAAAAGGAAGCGCUAUGCCACUCUCCAUCGUCAAACUCGACGGCUCCUCCUUGGAUAGUAUGUGGCGGUUAUGAAUUCAGCUACGUUGAAGGAUCCGAAGAUUUUUGAUCAAGAAGAGAGUGAAUGAGAUGGAGCAAGCAAACAUGGGUCAUCGCCACAUUUCUUGAUCGCAUCUGUUCCAUAUGUGAUGAAUAAGGGUCCGGGAAGACACUCGAAGAGGAAGAAGCAUCAUCUCUUUCGCUCACUCAACAAGAUUUGUUAGAUAGUAGUGGUAGGUUGUGGACCAAACAUAGUUAUGUCAUUCAACACUUGAGCUAAAAUUUGAGGUCACUAGAUACAUUUUAAAAGCACUAUGAUUUUUAAUUUGUUUUUUUUAGAAGUUAAGUCUGAUAUGUUUUUGAAACUAUGUCAAGAUUCCCAGUGAUUAAAGUUUUAGUAAUCUGUAACGGUGAGAAAAUGGGGCUCCCUCUUGGGUUACUUACCAUGGAGGUUUUAGAGGAACCAUUGCUGUAGAUUCUUGGCAACUUCUGAGGGUUUCUUCAUUGGUUCUUUUUUUAACUUUUUCUUUGAGAUUCUGAACUAUACUUCCGUCUUUUCCAUUUUAUUAUUAUUAUAGUUACUUUGAUCACUCUGUAAUUAUUAUAGUUACUUUGAUCACUCUGUAAUGAUGGCCCUAAGAGCAGUGUCGUCAACCAUGGUGUGUGUGAUGCUAAUAGUGUUGUGGAAGGUGAAAGAGGUGAGGCCACUGAACCAAGUAACAGCUCUGAUGAUAGGAGGAACACGAGCGAGGUUGCACCACAGAAGGAAGUUGUGUCCUUUGGAAAAGGGCACGGACUGACUAAUAAUUACAGAAUUAUCACACACCCAUCACAAAAAGUAUAACCAGACGUUGCUUAUGGUUUCAUUCCAUAUGCAUAAUAAUUGCAGUUAAGAGAAAGAGGUCAAGAGAUUCAUCACGAGUGUCGAAUUUAUAAUUUUUAAUUAUAGGUUUAACUAAAAUCAUGUUAACAAUUUUUCUAAGUAAUAAUCAAGCUAUGAAAUUUUUUUGGGGUCAAACUGAUGAAAAGAUUAAUAUUUAUAUCAAA